rnacentral:rRNA from 1 species
AUUGAACGCUGGCGGCAUGCCUUACACAUGCAAGUCGAACGGCAGCACGGGAGCAAUCCUGGUGGCGAGUGGCGAACGGGUGAGUAAUAUAUCGGAACGUGCCCAGUCGUGGGGGAUAACGUAGCGAAAGCUACGCUAAUACCGCAUACGAUCUAUGGAUGAAAGCGGGGGAUCGCAAGACCUCGCGCGAUUUGGAGCGGCCGAUAUCAGAUUAGGUAGUUGGUGAGGUAAAGGACUCACCAAGCCGACGAUCUGUAGCUGGUCUGAGAGGACGACCAGCACACUGGGACUGAGACACGGCCCAGAC